rnacentral:rRNA from 1 species
CAGCCGCCGCGGUAAUACGAAGGGUGCAAGCGUUACUCGGAAUUACUGGACGUAAAGCGUGUGUAGGUGGUUGUUUAAGUCUGUCGUGAAAGCCCUGGGCUCAACCUGGGAAUUGCGAUGGAUACUGGGCGACUAGAGUGCGGUAGAGGAUAGUGGAAUUUCCGGUGUAGCAGUGAAAUGCGUAGAGAUCGGAAGGAACAUCUGUGGCGAAGGCGACUAUCUGGGCCAACACUGACACUGAGACACGAAAGCGUGGGGAGCAAACAGGAUUAGAUACCCGUGUAGUCCCUGUCUCUUAUAC